rnacentral:rRNA from 1 species
GACGAACGCUGGCGGCGUGCUUAACACAUGCAAGUCGAACGGAAAGGCCCUGCUUUUGUGGGGUGCUCGAGUGGCGAACGGGUGAGUAACACGUGAGUAACCUGCCCUUGACUUUGGGAUAACUUCAGGAAACUGGGGCUAAUACCGGAUAGGAGCUCCUGCUGCAUGGUGGGGGUUGGAAAGUUUCGGCGGUUGGGGAUGGACUCGCGGCUUAUCAGCUUGUUGGUGGGGUAGUGGCUUACCAAGGCUUUGACGGGUAGCCGGCCUGGGAGGGUGACCGGCCACAUUGGGAGUGGGAUACGGCCCAGACCCCUACGGGGGGGAGGGGGGGGGAAAUUGGACCAAUGGGCGGAAGCCUGAUGCAGCAACGCCGGGUGGGGGAUGACGGCCUUCGGGUUGAAACCCGCUUUCCCUUGGAACGAAGGGGGGGUGCCGGAAAUGGGUAAAGAAGCACCGGCAAACUCGGU